rnacentral:rRNA from 1 species
GGCCAGACUCCUACGGGAGGCAGCAGUGGGGAAUAUUGCACAAUGGGGGAAACCCUGAUGCAGCGACGCCGCGUGAGUGAAGAAGUAUUUCGGUAUGUAAAGCUCUAUCAGCAGGGAAGAAAAUGACGGUACCUGACUAAGAAGCCCCGGCUAACUACGUGCCAGCAGCCGCGGUAAUACGUAGGGGGCAAGCGUUAUCCGGAUUUACUGGGUGUAAAGGGAGCGUAGACGGCAUGGCAAGUCAGAUGUGAAAGCCCGGGGCUCAACCCCGGGACUGCAUUUGAAACUGUCAGGCUGGAGUGCAGGAGAGGUAAGUGGAAUUCCUAGUGUAGCGGUGAAAUGCGUAGAUAUUAGGAGGAACACCAGUGGCGAAGGCGGCUUACUGGACUGUAACUGACGUUGAGGCUCGAAAGCGUGGGGAGCAAACAGGAUUAGAUCCCCGAGUA